ensembl:lncRNA
CUUCUCUGGACGCACAUCUUUCGCAUGAGCUGCAUCGUUCCGGGAGCAGCACAGGCCAAACGGAGGGGGAGCCAUGAGUGCGUCAGACGAACCCAGUCCGGAGAAGGACACAGAUGGGCCCUCACCACCGGGGGCCCCUGAAGCUGCCAGUUCACCCCCCGCCGCAGUGAAGAAGGAGCUGGGGCUUCCAGAGAUGAGCAACGGGAAAGUGGGAGACUCCAACCCGGAAAUGUGCGCCGUGUCUGGAAGUGAAGGAGGCGGAGGAGGAGGAGGAGCACAGCGGCGAGCCCAGUCUGAGAGUGCUCCCAAAAAAACAGCCGCGACCUCAUCCGCCGCCACCACGUCUCCUCCUGCUGCAGUGAAGAAGGAGCAAGGAACACCGGAGACGAGCAACGGGAAGGCCAGAGAUCCGAACCCCGCCGACAUCUGCGUCGUCGUCGGAGGAAACGAGGGGGGACUGGGCCGUGGUAGACCCGGUCGACCCCCCGCAGACAGUAU